AACGAACGCUGGCGGCAUGCCUAACACAUGCAAGUCGAACGAGACCUUCGGGUCUAGUGGCGCACGGGUGCGUAACGCGUGGGAACCUGCCCUUAGGUUCGGAAUAACUCCCCGAAAGGGGUGCUAAUACCGGAUAAUGUCUUCGGACCAAAGAUUUAUCGCCUUUGGAUGGGCCCGCGUUGGAUUAGCUAGUUGGUAGGGUAAAAGCCUACCAAGGCGACGAUCCAUAGCUGGUCUGAGAGGAUGAUCAGCCACACUGGGACUGAGACACGGCCCAGACUCCUACGGGAGGCAGCAGUGGGGAAUAUUGGACAAUGGGCGAAAGCCUGAUCCAGCAAUGCCGCGUGAGUGAUGAAGGCCUUAGGGUUGUAAAGCUCUUUUACCCGGGAUGAUAAUGACGGUACCGGGAGAAUAAGCACCGGCUAACUCCGUG
rnacentral:rRNA from 1 species